rnacentral:rRNA from 4 species
CCCCGGUAAACGGCGGCCGUAACUAUAACGGUCCUAAGGUAGCGAAAUUCCUUGUCGGGUAAGUUCCGACCUGCACGAAUGGCGUAAUGAUGGCCAGGCUGUCUCCACCCGAGACUCAGUGAAAUUGAACUCGCUGUGAAGAUGCAGUGUACCCGCGGCAAGACGGAAAGACCCCGUGAACCUUUACUAUAGCUUGACACUGAACAUUGAGCCUUGAUGUGUAGGAUAGGUGGGAGGCUUUGAAGUGUGGACGCCAGUCUGCAUGGAGCCGACCUUGAAAUACCACCCUUUAAUGUUUGAUGUUCUAACGUGGACCCGUAAUCCGGGUUGCGGACAGUGUCUGGUGGGUAGUUUGACUGGGGCGGUCUCCUCCUAAAGAGUAACGGAGGAGCACGAAGGUUGGCUAAUCCUGGUCGGACAUCAGGAGGUUAGUGCAAUGGCAUAAGCCAGCUUGACUGCGAGCGUGACGGCGCGAGCAGGUGCGAAAGCAGGUCAUAGUGAUCCGGUGGUUCUGAAUGGAAGGGCCAUCGCUCAACGGAUAAAAGGUACUCCGGGGAUAACAGGCUGAUACCGCCCAAGAGUUCAUAUCGACGGCGGUGUUUGGCACCUCGAUGUCGGCUCAUCACAUCCUGGGGCUGAAGUAGGUCCCAAGGGUAUGGCUGUUCGCCAUUUAAAGUGGUACGCGAGCUGGGUUUAGAACGUCGUGAGACAGUUCGGUCCCUAUCUGCCGUGGGCGCUGGAGAACUGAGGGGGGCUGCUCCUAGUACGAGAGGACCGGAGUGGACGCAUCACUGGUGUUCGGGUUGUCAUGCCAAUGGCACUGCCCGGUAGCUAAAUGCGGAAGAGAUAAGUGCUGAAAGCAUCUAAGCACGAAACUUGCCCCGAGAUGAGUUCUCCCUGAGACUUAGAGUCUCCUGAAGGAACGUUGAAGACGACGACGUUGA